UGAAAUGAACUAUUUCCCAAGCCACGUGU
rnacentral:sRNA from 1 species